AUUGAACGCUGGCGGCAGGCCUAACACAUGCAAGUCGAACGAGUGGCGGACGGGUGAGUAAUGUCUGGGAAACUGCCCGAUGGAGGGGGAUAACUACUGGAAACGGUAGCUAAUACCGCAUACCAUCGGAUGUGCCCAGAGGGGAUUAGCUAGUAGGGGGGGUAACGGCUCACCUAGGCGACGCUCCCUAGCUGGUCUGAGAGGAUGACCAGCCACACUGGAACUGAGACACGGGCCAGACUCCUACGGGAGGCAGCAGUGGGGAAUAUUGCACAAUGGGCGCAAGCCGGAUGCAGCCAUGCCGCGGGUAUGAAGAAGGCCGUCGGGUGGUAAAGUACUGUCAGCGAGGAGGCGUUACCCGCAGAAGAAGCACCGGCUAACUCCGUGCCAGCAGCCGCGGUAAUAC
rnacentral:rRNA from 1 species